rnacentral:RNase_P_RNA from 1 species
AGAGUUGGACAGGCGAUCGCGGCCGAUGGGACAGUGGCUAUUUAUGGCCAAACGACCCCAGCGUGCUGAGGAAAGUCCGGGCACCGCAGGGCAGGUUGCCGGGUAAAGGCCCGGUGGACGUGAGUCCGAGGAGAGUGCCACAGAAAUGCCAAACCACAGCGUGGCCGUGAGCCAAUGCUGUAAGGGUGCAACGGUGGUGUAAGAGACCACCGGCAG